AUUUUUAAAUUCGCCGCACAUUAUUCACCGAGGAGGUUCAAAUAAAGUAUGCAGUAGGUACUUGUUUUUAAUGUACAGUGUGGACACCUAACGAUGAGUUUUUGAAGUAUUGCGGUGGGCUUUGCUUUGUUGACGAAGCAUCGUUUAGGUUAGAAAUUUUGUGUUAAAAAUUAUUCUUCUGUUAUUAGUGCUAAUUAAUAGACCUAUUCGUUUGUAUGAGACAACGGAACUAUUCUAACAAGAACAAUUCAACGUUAAAUUAGUAAAAUGCCCACUCAGUUAGCGCACGAUAACAAUAUUCACGAAAUACGUGCCAAAAUCGCAUAUAAUGGCGAAGUACUCAUUACGUAUAUUAAUCAGAAUAUUUCUUUGGAGGAGCUUUGUAACGAAAUGCGCGAAAUUUGUCGUUUUACUCACGAUCAAGCAUUUACGAUGAAAUGGGUAGAUGAAGAAGGGGACCCUUGUACCAUUUCGUCUCAACUGGAGCUAGAUGAAGCCAUUAGGCUUUAUGAAGUUAAUCGAGACUCUGAGCUAACUGUUCAUGGUACUAAAUUAAUAGCUU